AUACCUGCAGCUCAAGUGGUGAUCGUUAUUAUUGGGCCUAAAACGUCCGUAGCCGGUCUAUUAAAUGCCUGGGUAAAUCGUGCCGCUUAACGGUACGAAUUCCGGGUAGACUGAUAGACUUGAGAUCGGGAGAGGCUAGAGGUACUCCUGGGGUAGAGGUGAAAUUCUGUAAUCCUGGGGGGACCACCAGUGGCGAAGGCGUCUAGCUAGAACGAGUCUGACGGUGAGGGACGAAGCCCUGGGGCGCAAACCGGAUUAGAUACCCGGGUAGUCCAGGGUGUAAACGCUGCUUGCUUGAUGUUGGUUGGGCUCCGAGCCCAAUCAGUGUCGGAGUGAAGAUGUUAAGCAAGCUGCCUGGGAAGUACGGUCGCAAGACUGAA
rnacentral:rRNA from 2 species